UACGUAGGGGGCAAGCGUUGUCCGGAAUCAUUGGGCGUAAAGCGCGUGUAGGCGGCUCGUUAAGUCCGUUCUGAAAGUCCAGGGCUCAACCCUGGGAUGCGGGUGGAUACUGUCGGGCUCGAGUCCGGAAGAGGCGAGUGGAAUUCCUGGUGUAGUGGUGAAAUGCGUAGAUAUCAGGAGGAACACCGGCGGUGUAGACGGCUUUCUGGACCGUAGCUGACGCUGAGACACGAAAGCGUGGGUAGCAAACAGG
rnacentral:rRNA from 1 species